AGAGAGUUGGAGUUUGUUGCUUGUGCUGUGAAGAAGAAGGAGUCAGUGUUGUGAGGAACUGCCCAUGAGAAAUCACCAAGAAGGAUUCCUACACCACUUAGCAAAGCUGGUAAAGUUAUUUUUUAGCCAUCAGAGAACAGGAAGGAGAGAAAUCUGCUAAGCAACCUCUGCUAUGCUGCAUGCCAGGCUACAAAAUAGCUGUUCAAUAGACUAAUAGCAUAUUCUUCUCAACCAAUCAGCCAGUCAAGACUAACCACUCAGAGCAUUGUCAGGAAUUUGUCUGGCAUAUUUGUAAGUCAUCAGAAGGCAUGCUGGUUCAGAGACUCCCACCUGGCUUCCUCCAGCUUGGAUGUGUAGAGCUGAUGCGUGUGGGCCCGUGCAAUCAGGAGGAAAUAAUGUGAAGGGGCUGAGCUGUAAAAAAAG